UACGGAGGGGGCUAGCGUUGUUCGGAAUCACUGGGCGUAAAGCGCACGCAGGCGGAUUGAUAAGUCAGGGGUGAAAUCCCGGAGCUCAACUUCGGAAUUGCCUUUGAUACUGUCAAUCUCGAGUCCGGGAGAGGUGAGUGGAAUUCCUAGUGUAGAGGUGAAAUGCGCAGAUAUCGGGAGGAACACCUAUGGCGAAGGCAGCUCGCUGGGACGUUACUGACGCUGAGACGCGAAAGCGUGGGGAGCAAACAGG
rnacentral:rRNA from 1 species